AUUGAACGCUGGCGGCAUGCUUUACACAUGCAAGUCGAACGGUAACAGGCCUUCGGGUGCUGACGAGUGGCGAACGGGUGAGUAAUGCAUCGGAACGUACCCAGAGGUGGGGGAUAACGCAGCGAAAGCUGUGCUAAUGCCGCAUGUGAUCUGAGGAUGAAAGCGGGGGACCGAGCAGCAAUGUUUGGCCUCGCGCCUUUGGAGCGGCCGAUGUCGGAUUAGCUAGUUGGUGGGGUAAAGGCCUACCAAGGCGACGAUCCGUAGCUGGUCUGAGAGGACGACCAGCCACACUGGGACUGAGACACGGCCCAGACUCCUACGGGAGGCAGCAGUGGGGAAUUUUGGACAAUGGGCGCAAGCCUGAUCCAGCAAUGCCGCGUGCGGGAAGAAGGUCUUCGGGCUGUAAACCGCUUUUGGCAGGAACGAAACGGUGUCCGCUAAUACCGGGCGCUAAUGACGGUACCUGCAGAAUAAGCACCGGCUAACUACGUG
rnacentral:rRNA from 1 species